GCUGUUCGUCCAUGGGAGAAACGGGUUGAACUGAGUCCAUCCAUGCCAAAGAAAAUCAACAGCAAGCAAAAGACAAGUAAAACUACAACUUGGCCAAAAUGAACAUCAUUGUUGUGAGAAUAUGGUUCUCUUAACUCCAUUUUGUUCAGAUUUAUUAUGGACCAUUGGAUGGGAUCGAUGGCCGGGAUUUAAUCUAUUUGAUAUAUUUGUGUUGCUUUGUCUUGGGGGAGAUGUUUUGACUUGAUGGUUGACACAAUAAGGCUCCCUACGUUUUUUGGCAGAAAGAUGGGUUUUUCUUCCCUUCUUAAGUCGACUCCCUCUCCCUUUCUUUUGGCUCUCGAUUUUUGGUUGAAGGUUGGUGGGUUCUUUGUCGG
rnacentral:lncRNA from 1 species